CCUACGGGAGGCAGCAGUGGGGAAUAUUGCACAAUGGGGGAGACCCUGAUGCAGCGACGCCGCGUGAGUGAAGAAGGAUUUCGGGAUGUAAAGCUCUUUCAGCAGGGAAGAAAAUGACGCUACCUGAUUAAUAAGCCCAGGCUAACUACGUGCCAGCAGCCGCGGUACUACGUAGGGGGCAAGCGUUAUCCGGAUUUACUGGGUGUAAAGGGAGCGUAGACGGCAGCAAAAGUCUGGAGGGAAAUGCCGGGGGUUAACCCCGGAACUGCAGUGGAAACGGUGCAGCUAGAGUGCAGGAGAGGUAAGUGGAAUGCCUGGUGUAGCGGUGAAAUGCGUAGAUAUCAGGAGGAACACCAGUGGCGAAGGCAGCUUACUGGACUGUAACUGACGUUGAGGCUCGAAAGCGUGGGGAGCAAACAGGAUUAGAUACCCCAGUAGUC
rnacentral:rRNA from 1 species